AAAACCGAACCGGAUCCGAAGAACCGAACCGAACUGUGAAAAUUCGUCCGGUUCGGUUCCUUUUUUCCCAGAAAUUCGGUUCUUUCGGUUUUUCGGUCGGGACUGAAUUAAAGUUCGGUUCGGUCCGGUCCUUUUGAAAAAAAUUCGGUUCUGGACCGAAAGAACCGAAAUAUUAAUAUUAAUUAAAUAUAUAAUAUAUAAUAUAUGUUAUAUGCGUUCAGCCGCAACCCGCAACACCACUUCUUUCUUUCAGCCGCCCUAAACAGUGAACCCUAAUCUAUCUACACAAAUCUAAACACGAAUCUAACUAAACACGAAUCUAACUAAACACGAAUCAAGAAUCGGAGAUUCAAGAAUCGGAGACUGAAGCAUCUAUACAAGAAUCUGUUGUCUGCGAUUCAAAUUUCCACCAAUCCAAGCUAGCCAUCUAGAUUUGGUGCGAUUAAUUUCUGAAUGGAGAAGUGGAAUCCAAGUGUGAGUUGGAUGUUUAUCUUAAAGAGAGUGUAUAUGUUACCAAAAAUGAUGAGUUUGAUAUUUUGAAAUGGUGGAAGGUUAAUUCAGGUAGGUUCCCGAUCCUCGCACAACUUGCGCGUGAUGUGCUAGCUAUCCCUAUCUCUACCGUAGCAUCCGAGUCCGCAUUUAGUACGGGAGGAAGAGUACUUGAUCCUUAUAGAAGUUCUUUGUCGCCUAAAGUAGUGGAAGGUUUGCUUUGUGCUCAAGAUUGGUUGCGAUCAUAUACACGCCCAAAGACAAUUGAAGAAGAUUUUGAAGAUCUAGAAAAAUUUGAAGAAGCUUUCUCUGCUCUUAGCUUAAACAAGGAUGGGGAAGAUGCGCCUAUAGACCUGGAUGUGGACAACUGAGUGCUCACUAAUACUUGGAGACUGAAGCUUGGAGAAUAAACCAGCAACAUCAUUAAACCAGCAGGCAGCAACAUUCCAUGUUUAUUUCAAUUUUUGUUCCUGAACUAGCACAUUUCGACUAUCAUUGUAAUGAUUUUUAAAUCCUGUAGAAUUCCAUGGUGGCUCCCUGUAGUUUGUUUAAUAUUUGAACUUCAUGUUGAAUCUUGUAAAAUUAUUUUGCUGGAUGUUGUGUGCUUGGAGGUGCUUAAAUGUUAUUGACAAUCAAGCAGUUUAAUUUUUUUUUGCAAAAGAA